rnacentral:lncRNA from 1 species
CUAGGCCACACUUCCUGGGUGUGGCCACAGGUGCUCCAGGAGUCACUCAAGUCUGGGGUCAGAAGGCACCCCUUCUCCUGUUUUACAGGCCAGGACAUUAUUGUUACACCUGUGAGAAGCCGAUCUGCUGGGCUCGGCACAUAACAUGGAGGAGGCAUGAUGACAUCUCCUUUUUCUUUCCGUGAGGGGUAUGUGCUUGGUGCUGAAAACAAACCUUCUGAGAUGCCAGGAAUGGCUGUUACAGUCAACAGACAGGCCGGCUCCCCUCGAUAAAGUAUUCCUUCGACUUUGUGGGGUCUGCAUCCGUCCCCAGUGAACCCGCUGCCCGCGACAGACACAGUGCCACUCGUAGUGCUGUCGUGGGAAUUCUUUGGUCAACAAACAUUUAGUAAGAGGCUACUCUGUGCUGGGCACUGGUUUUAGGCUCUGGGAAUUCAGGAGUGAACGUGAUGGACACAGUCCCCGCCCUCAUGGAGCUUACAUUCUGGUGAUCAAAUAGCACACGUCUUAAACUCAACACAGUGAUGGGUAAAAGAAAUGCUC